GAGGGUAUAGCUCAAGUGGUAGAGCACAUGCUUAGCAUGCACGAGGUCCUGGGUUCAAUCCCUAAUACCUCCU
rnacentral:tRNA from 1 species